UACGUAGGCAGCGAGCGUUGUUCGGAGUUACUGGGCGUAAAGAGUGCGUAGGCGGUUUUCUAAGUUUGGUGUGAAAUCUCCCGGCUUAACUGGGAGGGUGCGCCGAAAACUGGAGAGCUGGAGUGUGGGAGAGGUAAGCGGAAUUCCUGGUGUAGCGGUGAAAUGCGUAGAUAUCAGGAGGAACACCUGCGGUGUAGACGGCUUACUGGACCAUAACUGACGCUGAGGCACGAAAGCGUGGGUAGCAAACAGG
rnacentral:rRNA from 1 species